CUGCCCCUUUGGCAAUCUGCGUGUGGGAGUGGGGGGCUGAGUGUCCUUCGUUUGACAAUUUCAUUCGGCUAAGCGCAAUUUGCAUAUGUGCGUGAGUGGGUGUGCUUAAGGAAUCAACUGCCUGUCUUGGAGUCCUGGCGUCCUCAAGUCCUGGAGCCCUUGGACCCAUGGGAUCCUUUCGAUUUGUCGCCAUCCCCCCUACCCCCUACCCACUUUCUGUCCACCUGUCUUUCUGUUUGUCAUUCCCUUCAUUUGAGGCAACACCAGGUGCGUAGGUAAUCUUUCCAUUACCCCACAGCGAUUAGCACGCGUUGUUGGGUACGCAAGAAAUUCUAGGUUUUUGCAUACGAUAAUAUUCAAAUAGCAGAGCUUUAAGAGGUUGAGCAUGCUGUGCCAAAAUGACAGGUAAAUCGCAGCCAAAUCAAUCAAUUUUCCAGAAGUCUGGGCAUAGAAACAUCUUUAACAAUUCCUCUAAGUUUUGUUUCAAACUAUAUUUCGCUACAAAUUCCAACAGGAGUUCUUCUACAGUAUGUUUGCUUUAAAUUCAUUCGAAAUAGGCACCACUUGAAAGGCCUCGUUAAAAUCUGUGUAUAAGCUGCCUUUUGCUAUUAUCACCCUUUGUUUGGCCAAGAAAAACAGCAGUCUGAAAUUGAAUCACACUCAAUGGGCGCACAGUAAUUUGAAAAUUAUCUUUGGUAAUGGCCAUAUUUCAUUGCAAUUGUGCUUGAGGUGGAAAUGCAAGGGAAAGCAAGGGAAAGCAAGGGAAAUGCAAGCAAGCCAAAGACAAUGGAAUGUCCAGGAAGCUACCGUCUCGAAUGGCACAGUAAACUGCAAAUCAAUCCCCAUCGCCAUUCAUUUGGCUUUGAAACCCAUAGCUCUUUGAAGGGCGGAGCUAAGCAACACUCACAAUCACAAUCAGCUUAACUGAAAGUGCCUGGCCGAAGGGAGCGUUUGAUUAACUGUCAUAACUUGGAGCACCUCCUUCCACCAACACCACCACCACCACCACCAAUCACAAAGGACAUUCAGUACAGUUUCAGGCACACCCGUCAAGUAAUGGAUAUCAAAGCCUUCUGGCUUUUUCCUCGGAUCCCAAACCACUCCUUUUUGCAUGGACCAGGUGCCAAUGCAGAUUAUGUACCACAGUGUAUGUGUAUCCUGGAAAUAAAGUCGACUACGAUGUGUCUAGUUUGUUGCUGCUCGUUGCUAAGCAGGGGGCAUGCAGCUUAAAUCAGUGAGACUGCACCACGCUGCGUAUGCGUUAUGGCAUUCCGAAUGCCAAAUUGUGACUGAGGAAUGGAAACUGGAAGAAUGGGCUACUUACCCGUA